AGUCAGUUAAUUGCUGAAAGAAAAGAGGGCACUGAAUCAUCUGUAUCUAUUUGAAUUUUAAGCCACUCGCUCAACCUGCACUUACACUCUCAACAAUUCAAUUUGGAGUGAGGCUGACAUAAAGCUGUAAGAAGGCACUACAGCAUCUUCAGUUCUCUCAUGCUGGUUGUGGGGCUUGUCUCUAAAGAGGACUGCAGACAAAUAAAGCACUUGAGAUAUACUAAUUUGCCUCCACUUUUGAAACCUUCCUCAAGAUACUACCUGGUGCAUGAGACUAGUGGGCUCUCAAAAACCUUGUCUUUUCUUUUUUUUUUUUCAGGUUUAGGAGGAAGGCUUCUGAAGAAAUAGAAGAUUUUCGCCUCAGACCACAGAGCCUGAAUGGAUCAGAUUAUGGAGGAGGUAAGAGGCCCUUGGAGGAAGUCAAAAGGUCUUCUAGAGAGGCCCCAGAACAUUUCCUGGGCUAAGGCACUGUUGGCUGCAGCAUCACUGAAGACAUUUGCAGUGGUCUCCUGACGCAUGCUGAUGCACAUCUUCAUGCCUUGCUGAAUGCUGCCACCUCUACCUGGAGUAUCUCUCCCUUCUUUAUCUGAUAACCCUACUUAUCCUUCAGAAGGUCAGCCAAAGCAUCAC
rnacentral:sRNA from 1 species